rnacentral:rRNA from 1 species
UACGUAGGUGGCAAGCGUUGUCCGGAUUUACUGGGCGUAAAGGGCGCGUAGGCGGCCACCGCAAGUCGGUUGUGAAAUCUCUGGGCUUAACCCAGAAAGGUCAACCGAUACUGCGGGGCUAGAGUGCAGAAGGGGCAACUGGAAUUCUCGGUGUAGCGGUGAAAUGCGUAGAUAUCGAGAGGAACACCUGCGGCGAAGGCGGGUUGCUGGGCUGACACUGACGCUGAUGCGCGAAAGCUAGGGGAGCGAACGGG